UGGGUUCCUGUUAGGGCAUUUUCAAUUUGCUACUUUUAAAGAAAACCAGGUAAGGGGAGCUAAUUGUUUUGUUUGAAUAUAUUUUAUAAAAUAUAUACAUGUUGAUUUCUUAAACUNAUGUGUUGAUUUGAACUGAUAUUUAUCUGUUUGGUAUGAACUAAAGUUUGAAAANGAUGAAUUUAUUGUAUGUGAAAUUGUGCUUAAAUAUUGUGCGUUUAAAUAUUUGACUGGUAUAUGUGGAUUGAAUAUAUAAGUUNUCUCUGUUUGAAUUGAUUUACUGAAAUUAAUCUUUGAUUUGGGGUGGUGUGUGUGGGUGAGACCUAAUGAGGAGAGCAAGAGAGAGUUGCUUGGGAGCUACGUGUUG
rnacentral:lncRNA from 1 species